rnacentral:misc_RNA from 1 species
CUUGGUCAUUUAGAGGAAGUAAAAGUCGUAACAAGGUUUCCGUAGGUGAACCUGCGGAAGGAUCAUUACAGAGGUCCCGCCGUUCGGCGGGUCUUCCACCCAUGUGAAUCAUACCCUGUUGCUUUGGCGAGCCGUCGCGGCUCUGCCGCGCCUCGGCGCCCUCGGGCCCGAGCGUGCUCGCCAGAGGACCCCAAACUCUUAAUGUCAGUGUCGUCUGAGUACUAUACAAUAAGUUAAAACUUUCAACAACGGAUCUCUUGGUUCUGGCAUCGAUGAAGAACGCAGCGAAAUGCGAUAAGUAAUGUGAAUUGCAGAAUUCAGUGAAUCAUCGAAUCUUUGAACGCACAUUGCGCCCCCUGGUAUUCCGGGGGGCAUGCCUGUUCGAGCGUCAUUUCAACCAUCAAGCACUGCUUGGCAUUGGGCUGCGUCGGUCACACGGCGAGCCCCAAAAUCAUAGGCGGUGCAUUAGGCCCUGAGCGCAGUAAACUCCUCGCUACAGGCGCCGACGUGCCCU